AUUGAACGCUGGCGGCAGGCCUAACACAUGCAAGUCGAACGAGGGGCGGACGGGUGAGAAAUGGCAGGGAAACUGCCUGAGGGAGGGGGAUAACUACUGGAAACGGUAGCUAAAACCGCAUUGCAACGGAUGUGCCCAGAUGGGACUAGCUAGGGGGUGGGGUAAAGGCCCACCUAGGCGACGAUCCCUAGCUGGUCUGAGAGGAUGAACAGCCACACUGGAACUGAGACACGGUCCAGACUCCUACGGGAGGCAGCAGUGGGGAAUAUUGGACAAUGGGCGCAAGCCUGAUCCAGCCAUGCCGCGUGUAUGAAGAAGGCCUUCGGGUUGUAAAGUACUUUCAUCGGGGAGGCGUUACCCACAGAAUAAGCACCGGCUAACUCCGUGCCAGCAGCCGCGGUAAUUC
rnacentral:rRNA from 1 species